rnacentral:rRNA from 1 species
UGGGGGAAUAUUGGACAAUGGGCGCAAGCCCUGAUCCAGCAAUGCCGCGUGUGUGAAGAAGGCCUUCGGGUUGUAAAGCACUUUUAUCAGGAGUGAAACGCUGUCGGCUAGUACCCGGCGGAACUGACGGUACCUGAGGAAUAAGCACCGGCUAACUUCGUGCCAGCAGCCGCGGUAAUACGAAGGGUGCAAGCGUUAAUCGGAAUUACUGGGCGUAAAGCGUGCGUAGGCGGUUUCUUAAGUCUGCUGUGAAAUCCCCGGGCUCAACCUGGGGAUGGCAGUGGAUACUGGGAGGCUAGAGUGUGUCAGAGGGUGGUGGAAUUCCCGGUGUAGCGGUGAAAUGCGUAGAGAUCGGGAGGAACAUCAGUGGCGAAGGCGGCCACCUGGGACAACACUGACGCUGAGGCACGAAAAGCGUGGGGGAGCAAAACAGGAUUAGAUACCCUGGUAGUCCACGCCCUAAAACGAUGCGAACUGGAUGUUGGUCUCAACUCGGAGAUCAGUGUCGAAGCUAACGCGUUAAGUUCGCCGCCUGGGGAGUACGGUCGCAAGACUGGAAACUUAAA